rnacentral:rRNA from 1 species
UACGUAGGGUGCGAGCGUUGUCCGGAAUUACUGGGCGUAAAGAGCUCGUAGGUGGUUUGUCGCGUUGUUCGUGAAAACUCACAGCUCAACUGUGGGCGUGCGGGCGAUACGGGCAGACUGGAGUACUGCAGGGGAGACUGGAAUUCCUGGUGUAGCGGUGGAAUGCGCAGAUAUCAGGAGGAACACCGGUGGCGAAGGCGGGUCUCUGGACCGAGACUGACGCUGAGGCGCGAAAGCGUGGGGGAGCAAACAGG